GGACCCGCACAAGCGGUGGAGCAUGUGGUUUAAUUCGAAGCAACGCGAAGAACCUUACCAAAUCUUGACAUCCUUUGACCGCUCUAGAGAUAGAGUCUUCCCCUUUGGGGGACAAAGUGACAGGUGGUGCAUGGUUGUCGUCAGCUCGUGUCGUGAGAUGUUGGGUUAAGUCCCGCAACGAGCGCAACCCUUAAGCUUAGUUGCCAUCAUUAAGUUGGGCACUCUAGGUUGACUGCCGGUGACAAACCGGAGGAAGGUGGGG
rnacentral:rRNA from 1 species